GUACACGCUGUGACUAGCAUAUCAAUAAGCGGAGGAAAAGAAACUAACAAGGAUUCCCUUAGUAACGGCGAGUGAAGCGGGAAGAGCUCAAAUUUGAAAUCUUCAAGGUUUUACCUUGACGAAUUGUAGUUUAAAGAAGUGUUUUACUGCUGAAGUUUUGGUAAAAGUUCUUUGGAAUAGGACAUCAUAGAGGGUGAGAAUCCCGUAUUUGACCAUUAUUUUCAGCUUUGUGAUACACUUUCAAAGAGUCGGAUUGUUUGGGAAUGCAGUCCAAAAUGGGUGGUAAAUUUCAUCUAAAGCUAAAUAUUGGCGAGAGACCGAUAGCGAACAAGUACCGUGAGGGAAAGAUGAAAAGAACCUUUGAAAAGAGGUUAAAGCAGUACGUGAAAUUGUCAAAAGGGAAGGCGUUUGACACCAGUGUUGUUUUCUCGAAAAUCAAUUAAAAAUGGCUCGAUUUUGUAUUGCUGAGACCUUAAAAGCUCACUGUACAUUUUUCGUGUCUUUUUUAAUGCACUUUUCGUUUAACAAGUCAACAUCAGUUUCUUUUGUUGUAAAAGGGUCAUUGGAAGGUGGCUUUCUUUUCGGAGAAAGUGUUUAUAGCCUUUGGCCUCUGCAAUCGGAAGAGACUGAGGUCUGCAGCGUAGACUCUUCGGGGUUAGAUACAUUUGUGCUAAGUUAUAGCUUUUUAUAGACAACUUGUUGACCAUAAUUAGUCUUGUAGCUUACUCGCUUAUGCUAUUUUACCUACGCUUAGGAUGUUGAGUAGCGACAUACGCAC
rnacentral:rRNA from 1 species